GUAAAUGAACAGUGCUCGCCUUUGCUCUAUCCUGGGACGAUCUCGACUGCCAACCACCUGUGCAGACCCCUAUCACUGAAUCUGAAAGUUCCAAAUCAUGAAGAUCUACGUAGCUGCCGUCUUGUUAUCCUUCGUUUGCUUUCAGGCAUCACAAGUUUUUGGAGCCAGACUUAAAAGAUCGUCGACUGCCGUGGAGGAAGAAGAUUGCCUUGAACUAGACUACUUGGACGAUUGUAAAUUGAAUAACCCUUGUGACCCAAUAACAAAACCGUGCAAGGAUGGAAGCAGGUGCCGUCCUUGUCGUGCUUGUGAAAGUUAUACUUGUGCAUCCUCGCACUUGUUCAUCGUUUGAAUGAUUGCUGAGGUGACGAUGAAGACAAUUCCAAGCAUUGAUGCCCAUCGAAGUCCGCUUGUAGUUUAAAGCAAACAGUAGACUGAACCGGCAUCAUGUUUAAGCCUACU